AUGGCAACCUCUUCAAGUACCUUCCCAUCCUCUCCAUUCGCUCACGUCGUCUCGGAGAAGCUCACCAAGGGCAAUCAGGCGCUAUGGCGGGCGACAGUUCUGUCCACCAUCCGAGGUGCUCAGAUGCAGAAGUACCUCAACGUCGAUCACCCGGUGCUGCCCAUGGAGCUGGAGGUCACGGACUCUGACGGGAAAACCAAGAAGAAAACCCCCAAUCCGGAGUUCCAAACCUGGUAUGCUCAAGAUCAGCAAGUUUUUUCAUAUCUUCUAACAACGCUGCCCCAUGAGAUGGCAAUUCAGGUCGCCACCUGCCACACUUCGGCAGAGCUAUGGAACACGGUUCAGGGGAUGUUGUCCUCCCAGACCCGUGCCGCGACUGUGAAUGUCCGGAUCGCCCUCGCCAAUCUCCAGAAGGGAAACAGCUCCAUCACCGACUACGUCGGCAAGAUCCGAACCCUCUGUGACGAACUUGUCGCAGCAGGUAAAAGGGUGGAUGAGGAGGACGUCGUCUCCCACAUCCUGGCCGGGCUUGAAGAAGACUUUGACCCGGUGGUCUCAUCCAUGUGCUCCCUUGUGGAGCCGGUCACCGUGCCGAAGCUAUACUCGCAGCUAGUCAGCUUCGAGACAUGGAUGAACCUCCGCCAUGGGGGAUCGCAGUCCCCAGAGAACGCGGCAACACAUGGGCGCGGUCUCGGCAGUGGUGAUCGCGGCCGUGACAGACAAGGCGGCGGCAACUCUAGUGGUGAUCGCGGUCGUCCCUACACCAAGCAAAACGGUCGUGGUGGAGGCGGCAGGGACAACUACAACAACUCUGCUCCUACCCACAAGGUGGUGUGCCAGAUCUGUGGCAAGCCAGGCCACCCGGCCUGGAAAUGCUGGAAGCGCUAUGACGAUUCAUACCAGGGAGAAGAAGAGAAGUCCGCCAACAUGGUGACCCCUCGGUACGAGGUAGACUCCAUCUGGUACCUGGAUAGUGGCGCCACCGACCACAUCAUCGGCGAUCUGGAGAAGCUGACGGUGCGGGACAGGUACACCGGCGGCGAACAGAUUCACACUGCAAGCGGUUCAGGGAACGAGGAAGGUUCUACUUCGAGGCAGGGGUAA
rnacentral:rRNA from 1 species